CAGCAGCCGCGGGAAUACGGAGGGUGCAAGCGUUAUCCGGAUUCACUGGGUUUAAAGGGUGCGUAGGCGGAUCUGUAAGUCAGUGGUGAAAUCUCCAGGCUUAACCUGGAAACUGCCGUUGAUACUAUAGGUCUUGAAUUUUGUGGAGGUUAGCGGAAUAUGUCAUGUAGCGGUGAAAUGCACAGAUAUGACAUAGAACACCAAUUGCGAAGGCAGCUGGCUACACAACUAUUGACGCUGAGGCACGAAAGCGUGGGGAUCAAACAGGAUUAGAUACCCCCGUAGUCCCUGUCUCUUAUAC
rnacentral:rRNA from 1 species